rnacentral:rRNA from 1 species
UUGUCCUACGGGGGGCAGCAGUGGGGAAUAUUGCACAAUGGGGGAAACCCUGAUGCAGCGACGCCGCGUGAGGGAGGAAGUAUUUCGGUAUGUAAAGCUCUAUCAGCAGGGAAGAAAAUGACGGUACCUGACCAAGAAGCCCCGGCUAACUACGUGCAAGAAGCCGCGGUAAUACGUAGGGGGCAAGCGUUAUCCGGAUUUACUGGGUGUAAAGGGAGCGUAGGCGGCUGUGUAAGCCAGAAGUGAAAGCCCGAGGCACAACCACGGGACUGCUUUUGGAACUACAUGGCUUGAU